UGGAGCUUCCCUGAGGCUAUCGGCCAAGGCCUCGACCAGGGCACCUUCAUCGCUGGCCAGUGGUGCCGGUGGUGCUGUGUGCAGCUCAUCGAGGCUUCCGGGCCACGGAAGAGAGGUCGGCCCUCCCGGUCUGCUUGGUCCCAGUGCAAGGCCGUCGGCGGGGAGAAGCCGAGAGGCUGGGUCUCGAGCACAUGUGACGGCUGUCAGACGUGAAGGAAGCAGGGAAGCAAGCUCAAAACCGAAUGUGUCAGACAGGCUAGGAGUGGGGGUGGGGGUGGGGGUUCGGAGGAUUCGGCGGCGGAGCGGGAGCGGUGGCUGCGGUUGGCGGGAUGCGCGCGCUGCCGCAGCUCCCCCCUCCCCUCCCCGCUUCCCCACUCCGCUUCCGCAUGCUUGUUUACCUACCCGUGGGCGACAUAACCUUGUCGCGUGUUCUUGCCGGCUCUGAGUUUUUAUCGCGUCGCGGAGUGCAGUGGUGAUUCUGUUGGUGUGAAGCAGUGUGAAGUGUCUAGUGCAGUUCGUUGUGAUCAUGUGCAAGUGUUUCCAUGGCCUGUGACGCGCUGCAAGCGCGGCCAGCCCCCCGAGUGUCUCGAGUGUCAGUGCGUGUGUGUAUGUCAUGGGGUUACUCCAGUCGCUCAAGUCGCCUGGGAGGCUCUCGUUUCCUCAUCGAUAUGUUCUGGAAGUCAUGGAUUAGCGUGUGAGUCCCUGGUGUCUCCGGCCUGCGGUCAUUGCUGCUGGUGCCGUCGACGGGGCUGCCGGCGGGUCUGCCGACCGGGCCGCUGUUCCAGUGCCCCGUGUGCGCCAAGUUCCUGUCGUCCAAGCACUCCCUCAAGGAGCACGCGCGCAC
rnacentral:misc_RNA from 1 species